GGCCCCGGACCGGCCCGCCGCACGGCCGCCUGAGCUGCGAGCUGAGGAGGCCCCUUGGCUGUUCCCGCAAAGGGCGGGGGGCUCAUUUUCUCUACUGCCAGCCCGCUCCAUCCUGGUCGUUUAUUCCUUGCCUUCCCUCACCCCCCACCCACACAGCCUGCUGUAUGUAAAUAGGCAAAUAGAUCUACACGGACACAAUAAUUUAGCUCGUUUGGUCUUUGGCAUUUUCUACAAGACCCCAAGAGAUGGACUUUCCUUUCCCCUUCCUCCUUUUAGAAAUGGCAUCCUUCAUCUCUGUCUAUGCAGGCCCAAUUAUCCAGAUCCUCGGGGCUCCAAUAGGGUCUGAGUCAUUGGAACCAGGAACACCUGGCUGAAACAUGCCACAUAAUUAGAUUUUCUUUUUCUUUACCUUUUCUUUCUUUUUUUUAUAAGAGGGCCAGAAUUAGCCUCUUCGACUGGGGCAGAGUAGCUGGGGUGUGGAAAAGGAACACCUUCAUACAACUUCCAGCUUUCAGCCCCUUGGAGAGAUCUCCAAGUUCCCCCGAGCCGCCAGGACUUCCUUUCCUCGAUCUCUCGGCCGCCUUCUCCUCCUUCUCCGAUCGUUUUUUUUCCCCUCCCCCCACUGUCUUCUCUACGGUUUAAUUAAAGUUCAGCGACUCCACUUGCCUCUCCUCUCAUUUCUUUCGGAAAGCGGAAACCAGACGACCCAGCGGCCACGGGACGAGCCGCCCCAACUCAACCCCAGCAGGACGCUGGAGGGGCCUCCCUCGCCCGCCUGUCUUCGCCGGCGCUGGUCUCCCGCACCCGGGUCUGCAGUCCCUCCGCCAUCUCGCAGAAGGAGGAGUUGAGGCGCCUUGAAUUUUCCUUCGCGAGUUUGGAGACUAGCCGAUUUUUCAUGAAGCAAGCAAAGACCGCGGUCCCGGAUCCGGCAACAUCUACCUCAUUCUCUCCAGGCCUCUCCACUUGCCCGAGCUCUCAGCCACCAGGAGACAGAAGGAAGGGACUUCUGGGCUGCGUUGGGAGCGGGCACUGUCCCCUAUCUACUCCUGCUCGGUUUCCCAAAGUCCAGCGACAUCCGACCCUCCUGGGGGGAAAAAUACCAGUACCCAGACACCUCUGCACCCUGUUAUAUGACUGGGCUUGCUUCAGGAAUAUCUUACAAAGAAGAAGAAGAAGAAGAAGAAAGAACAGCUUGGAGUCAUGUUUACAUCUAGUUCUACUGACCGGUUCCCAUCUGGAGAGUUUAUUUAUAACUCCCUCUAUAACUCUCUGUUUGGAGGCACUGGUGGCUCUAUUGACAGACUGAUGUCUAGGAAAUAUUGCUCUAUGUCUAACCGUACCUAAAUGUGCUGUGGUUGUAUUUACAGAUUUAUGUUUGAGGGAAAUAUAAUUAUUUCCAUUGUAUUUGUGCAUAUACAGUAGUUAUAGGAGCAGAUUUAUAUAUGGGAAAAUAUACGACUCUCUUACAGCCAUCCGGCUUUAUGUACAUGUGAUAUCCUGACAGAUUUAUAUCUCUGAACAGCUAUAUAGAUAAAAACGUAUAUUGUUAGAAUUAUGUAUCAGGAGAUAUAUACUUAUUGAUUGUGAAAUAGAGUAGUUAGAGCAUUCACUUAGAGCCAUAUAUGGCUAUGGAGAUAUUUCUAUAUUAUUAUCACUAUAUAUAGGCAUAUCUAUUUAUAACUACAUAGUUAUAAAAAUAGACAUAAAUAAUUAUAGUCCUAUAUGUGCAUGCUGCAAUCUCUCUCUAGAGUUAUAGACACUUUCAAAUAUAACUCUAUAGAGAGAUCUGUAUGUAUAUAAGGUGUAAUUAUCUUGUGAUGUUUUUACGUUGGGACUUAGGCCCGUUUGUCUAGAACAGACAUCUUUAUAUGUAGGGGAUGGGAGAGACUUGUUCACAGAUAUCUGCAGAGGGCCAACUGGAAACACUGUAUCUGCCCUCUAGGAAACCAGCUAGGAGAGUUGUGUACUUAUGGAGGGAUGGAGUUACAAAAGGGUAAAUAGAGCUCAGGGAGCCUUAAGGAGGGGAGGUGAAUGGAGGGUGGGUGGGCUGGGUUUGAACAGAUAGUGGGAGGAAAGGGGUAAACACCAGCACCCACCAGAAGGCGAGAACCGGUUUUGUGAGGGGCUGGCGCAGACGGCUGUGGACAAGGAGCUUGUAAAAUGGGAAGCGGCGAACAGUCCCACCACCUCACCCUGAGACACUCUCCACCGAGGAAGCAGCCUUCAGUUUGGCUUUUAGUGCGCUGUAGGAUAGGGACUGUCGUGUCCCUCCUGUAGUCCUAGAGCGUUUCUGUUGAACCCUAAUUUUUAGGUCUCAAAGAGUGGGCUUCAGAGAUAAAGAGGUUUAGGCAGGGACAGGGCGAGGAGCGUGGGGUGUACUUUCACUUUCCGAUAAGUGAGGUAAUCCAGGAAAGUGAGUUAAUUUGGCCAAAUAAAGCUUGUUUUUAUCUGGGCCUCCUGUGCCUUGGCGGGGAUGUAGGAUGGGACCAGAAUCUAGUGGACUGAGGAGUGAAUUUGCAAGUAUUGGGCCUGCUCUGAUGGGGGCUUGGGGAGGUUGUCCUCACCACCCGCCCUCCUUCUCUGAGGCCUGAGUGGCCUAAUUCCCUCUGGGCACAGAGGGACUCCUUCAGCUCCCUAACAGUGCUGCCCUGGGUCUUUUCAGGGAGAAUUUGAGUUUAGGAACAGGGAACGUGGACUUACCCCACUAGAUCUCACUUCUCCCACUCACAGCUACACCACUCUUACAUCAGCCUCCUUCCAGGCACCGCUGGGCCAGGGGUCCCCAAUUCUUCCCCUGCUGCCAACCAGCCCAGUGGGGAAAUACCUCCCACGACUGCCAGUUUUUGUGGUUUUUUGUUGUUGUUGUUGUUGUUGUUUUUAAACAGGGAGUUACAGAUAACUUCGUUGAAUGUGUGAAGGAAUUAUCCUGAACUCAGUCUCCGUGGCCAACCUGGCCUCCAGGAUCUCUAGGAUGCUAGGAAGGGAGUGGAGACCCUUGGACCAGGCUAACCACCAUGUGCCACCCUCCACACACCCCUGCCCACGGGACUAGGAAUUCCUGCAGUGCAGGGACUCUGUCUGCUGUCUGGCACAGAAUGGUUGCCCAAACAUACUUCUUGAGGUAAACGGAAUGGCAGUCAAUAUAAAAACUCACCCUCCCUCUGCACACCACCAUAGCCACUGCAGGCUAGCAGGCACCCUAGCCAGGCUGGGAGAUAACAUGGCGGCUGGCAGCAGCUUGGGCUUUGACCGGACCGGUGGUUAGUAGGGUGGGAGAGCAUCCUGAGCCUAGGAUGGGGCGGGUACUGGAGCAAGGCACCUGGAAUCUGGAAAUUUGGGGGUAAGCCAAGGCAGACCCACCACCCCAGUGCACUUCUGCUUUCUAUCUCCAGUCUCCUGGCUCCCUGGACCCCCAAGUUAUGAAAACUAAACCAGAGCUGAGACCUGGGCUAGGAAGGAAUUGCCUGUCAAUCCGAGGGGUGCAAAGAGGAACCACCAUUGGGUCCAUUAAGAAAUCCACAAAUAAAACAAAAAUAAAUCAGUGCGAGACAGACAACCUGGCUGAAGGAAAGGUUUCUCUCUAUGCCUCAGCCCUGCUCCAGGGCUACCAAACAGAUCAG
rnacentral:lncRNA from 1 species